GCUCCGGUGGCCUAGUGGUUAGAGCGUCCGCAUCGGGUGCGGAAGGCUGUGGGUUUGAUCCUCAGUCGAGUCA